UACGUAGGAGGCGAGCGUUGUCCGGAGUUACUGGGCGUAAAGCGCACGCAGGCGGUCUUUGAAGUCUGCAGGGACAGGGCACAGCUCAACUGUGUCAGGCCUGUGGAAACUGGGAGACUUGAGGGCUUCAGAGGGAUGGGGAAUUCCGGGUGGAGUGGUGAAAUGCGUAGAGAUCCGGAAGAACACCAAUGGCGAAGGCACCAUCCUGGGGAGUCACUGACGCUCGGGUGCGAAAGCUAGGGGAGCGAACGGG
rnacentral:rRNA from 1 species